GAUGAAGAACGUAGCGAAAUGCGAUAAGUAAUGUGAAUUGCAGAAUUCAGUGAAUCAUCGAAUCUUUGAACGCACCUUGCGCCCUUUGGACUUCUGAAGGGCAUGCCAGUUUGAGUAUCAUGAACACCUCAACUCCUUAUGGUCUUCCAUGAUGAGCUUGGACUUUGGGGGUUUUGCUGGCCUACAGUCAGCUCCUCUAAAAUAAAUCAGCUUACCGGUGUUUGGUGGGUAUCAUGGGUGUGAUAACUAUCUACGCUCGUGGUUUUCCACCAGGUAACCUUCAGCAGUGGAGGUUCACUGGAGCUCAUAGAUGUCUCUCCUCAGCGAGGACAGCCCUUUGAAUGUUUGAUCUCAAAUCAGGUAGGACUACCCGCUGAACUUAAGCAUAUCAAUAAGCGGAGGA
rnacentral:misc_RNA from 1 species